AACGAACGCUGGCGGCAGGCUUAACACAUGCAAGUCGAACGCUCGUAGCAAUACGGGAGUGGCGGACGGGUGAGUAACGCGUGGGAACGUGCCCUGAGGUACGGAAUAACUGCGGGAAACUGCAGCUAAUACCGUAUGAGCCCCUAACGGGGGAAAGAUUUAUCGCCUUGGGAGCGGCCCGCGUCGGAUUAGCUAGUUGGUGGGGUAACGGCCUACCAAGGCUUCGAUCCGUAGCUGGUCUGAGAGGACGAUCAGCCACACUGGGACUGAGACACGGCCCAGACUCCUACGGGAGGCAGCAGUGGGGAAUCUUGCGCAAUGGGGGCAACCCUGACGCAGCCAUGCCGCGUGAAUGAUGAAGGCCUUAGGGUUGUAAAGUUCUUUUGCCCGUGACGAUGAUGACGGUAACGGGAGAAUAAGCUCCGGCUAACUUCGUGCCAGCCGCCGCCGUAAUAC
rnacentral:rRNA from 1 species